rnacentral:rRNA from 1 species
GACGAAGGGGGCUAGCGUUGUUCGGAAUUACUGGGCGUAAAGCGAGUGUAGGCGGUUGCCCAAGUCAGGUGUGAAAGCCUUGAGCUCAACUCAAGAAAUGCACUUGGUACUGGGUGGCUAGAGGACCGGAGAGGAUAGUGGAAUUCCCAGUGUAGUGGUGAAAUACGUAGAGAUUGGGAAAGAACACCAGUGGCGAAGGCGGCUAUCUGGACGGUUACUGACGCUAAGACUCGAAAGCGUGGGGAGCAA